UAGACAUGAAGACACCUUUCAAUAGGCUACUGGGCCUGAUGCAUAAAGACAACUACACAAUCAAUGAAGAGAGGGAACAGCCUCAGAUUCUGAUGACCACUGAUGUUUCCAACUGCAAACCAUGCCGCACUCUCGAGAUGUUCCCAGAGGCCAGAUGAGAACAGAGUUCGGUGGGGAGCACAUUUUCUUUCCUUGAAGAGAUGAAGGGUACCAUCCACCACUUAAUUUCUGAUAAGACAUUAAAUGUAUGAUUCUCAUCUCUAAGAAAUGAAACGCUGAGCUGGAUUUUUGGAUCAAUGGAAUACCUACUCCUGUUAAAGCACUUAAAAAGGAAAACAUCUACAAAAUGUCCCAUUAGGCUGACAAAUUUAUAGCAGUAUGAAAAGUGUGCCAGCAGUUUCAAAGCCGAAUAGAGCGUUGUGUUUAAAGAGUAUGAAUGGAUCUGAGUUCAGCAAUAUUUCAUCUACAUGAACAAGUUUAGCUAUCACAUCUCUUCCCAAUAUUUCCCACAUUUACUUUUAACUAGGCAUACGUAUGCCAUGACAGAAUAUGGACAUCAUCUUUAAAAAUAAGUUGUAAAAUGAAUAAUAUUAAAUGGACUUUCACAGCGUGAAGACGUGGAAAUAUAUUCUCAUCUUGAUGUGUGGGGCUGUACAGACAUAAAUGCCAUUAGCAUUAAUGGUAAUUAUGUGCGUAAAUCCCCAUGCUCUCAAUGAGAAUAUGCCCCUUAGUUUGCAAGUGCAAUGACUGGCUCAUUUCUGAGGCUAGAAACAGCUGAUACUUUACCCCCUCUAACUGGGAGAAAGAUACGGGGUGGCUCAGAGCAUAAAAUCUGAUCACCCACUUUCCCAAAACAUGCAAUUCAAGCACUUUAAAACUCCUUCACCUCAGAAACACUGAAGAUGUAGGAAAAAGCCUCAAACUGCGGUCUGAGUAUUCUGGCAAUUUAUGCUAUAUCAUUCAUAGGUUCCUGUCACUUGCUAGGGUGGUUACACUACAGGAGCUAUGUGUUCUCAUAACAAACUCAUUUUAUUAUGUUCUGAUAACGAUCGAGGAUAAUAUUUUUCAGCCAACCCAGAAGAGGCUGUUUACAAUACAAUUUUUCAGAAAGUAAGCAAAUUUAGCAUCCUGUUCACCAGAGCCAAUAUAUUCUAAUCUUAUUAAAACAGGCAGGCAGAUGACAGACCCCAGGAAAAGGUUCGUGUCUUCUCUUUUCAAUUCAUAAAUUAAUAAGGCAGUGUGACCCAAGUGUUUGGUUAGGCUUCACCUUACACGGUAGGAAAACAAAAAAGUCUUCUUGGCCAAAAAGUCAGAAAGCAUUAACAGAAAAGGUCGGCUGGUUAUAACUUUACAAACACUUCAUCAGGGUAAGAUGGAGCAAAGUGACAUAUGUAAUUAAAGUAUACUAAAAAAACAAGUCAUUGUGGUUUUCAAUUACAAUGGUACUAAGAAGCAACCAUAUUAUUUCUACAAACCAUUUUCACUUAGCACAG
rnacentral:lncRNA from 1 species